GUGUCGGUAGUGCAAUCGGUAGCACAACAGACCGGAUAUCUGUAGGUGUGCGGGGUUCGAAUCCCGCCGGUGACU
rnacentral:tRNA from 1 species